rnacentral:lncRNA from 1 species
GAGAACAUUUUAGAGAGCGCCCUUUCUCUUUAGUCUCCAUUUUCUGCAAUCAGGAUAAUGCAGUGCAUUUCAGAGCCAUUUUCAUUUUUGAAGUGCUCUUUCAUCAUUAGCUAAUAAAUGCUCAUCAAUGAAUUUUCCCUCUGCGUCUUGAAAUUUGGAGGAGAAAGAAAAUCGCUUUCUAUUUCGCCCUCCAUCCCCUCCAAUCCUGGCAUCCACCGUCAUUCUGCUUUCAGCUUCUGAGUUCAUCAAGUGACUGUCAACUCGAGUAACACUGAGAUCUGGACAGGCAACAUGAUUCCAGAGAACAGCCUUUCUUUGACCCCUUCAUCCCCCCGAGAACUCAUGCUUGGCUUCCCAGUCCUCUGUCUCCGGUGAAAAACAUGGAGGAUUUGAACAGCAUGUUGCAUUGUUGACUGUCACUGUGUGCCUUGUCUCCAACCAAGGCGAUGAUUUGAGAUGGGGCCAGCCUUCAUCAGCGUCCUCCUCUUUCUAAACCUCAUUCCUUACGCCGAAUACCCUAGAAAAGUAGGGUAACAAAUUUGGCACUUCGGCUGGACUAGGAGGCAAAGGACAAUGGCAGCCCUGGCUUGACCGUCUGAUUUGGAUUUCAAGGGUGUUUGUUCUGAAAUUCCAACAAAAUGACUAAUUUGACUAGACCUGUGGUGAUCGAAGAUGCUGGUGUUCCCCAUCCUGCUGUUCUCACUUCUCCAGGACCGAGGCCCCGUGGAGGGAACCAAGAUCCUAGACCAUCCCUUAGACAUGAACUGGUUCAUACCUUGCCAGCUGCAUCUCCCUUGCUUCUUCCAGGACAGAGUGGGUUGAAAGAGCCAGCAGGAACUGAAAAGCAUUGUAAACUAAGGAGGAAAAGUAACAAAGAGCUUGAAGACUUUCAUGGAGCCCAGGCCCUGGACGGAGGCAGGCGACAUCAGAGAACCAAGAAAGCUGAGGGGCAGCCAGGAGGCACCUGUGGCUGCAGAGCCCAGACUUGUCUUUGGAAAAGACGCAGAAGAGCCAGUAAACUUGGCUUCCUCACUUUGGCUCCUCAUGUGAGUAUAACUUAUAUUUCUAACUAUUAUGCAAGUGUCAUUAAAUAG